rnacentral:lncRNA from 1 species
AUAUACUGUAGGAAGUCAGAGAUGGGAACUAGUUAGUCAAAACCCACAGUCCCUGACUACAGAAAAAAGGGCUUUCUUUUACAGAGUUAAAAACGAAACAAACUUCUCAAAGAAAAAGAAAGGAAAAAGCCAAUUCCUCCUGAGAAUUCCUCCUUGGAACCCUUGCUGGUCACCGCAGUUGCUGCCAACAGUUUCUCCCCCUCCCUGCUCAUCUACUUCCAGCCAGCUGAAUUGGUUCCAAAAAAGUUACCAUUACCUGAGCAACUGGGACUCUUGCCUCUUGCUCCUUCUGCCAGGCACAAACUUGAAGCCUGGGAGGACAUCUCACAAAACAGAAAUUAAACCAGUGCCCAUACCACUUUUGUGAAGAGACCGCCUCUUCAAUUUAGAAGCAACCAUCUCCUCU